UUUGUUACAAACACGAUUAUAUGGAGAAGUUGCUAUCAACUAUCAUGCGGCUGAUACUUUUUCUGUUAUAAAUUUUCAGGACUCUAAUGAGGCCUUUAAACUCUUUAGAUUCAAAUGUUAUAUUUUUGGUUACUUACUAGUUACUAGUUAUCAGUUGGAACUUGAAACCAAGCGUUUUGGUGUCUUCACAUAGAGAAUUAAAGACUUGCCUAGAGUUAGAUUUGCAAUUUGCAUAGUAUAUUCAAAAGUAAACAUUUCAUAUUUGAUAAAAAAAAUAAAGUAUAGUGUCUAGUAGGCCUGUUACGGAUCCGGAUAUCCGGGUUUUUUUGGAGUAUCCGGAUCCGGUCCGUAACCGCCGGAUCCGUAGAUAUAAUAUUCGGCUCCGCAUCCGUUUGCUACGGAUAUUCGGAAUCCGGGUAUCCGCAAAAAAAAUCGUCGGAUCCGUUUUUUUUCUAUGGGGAUCAAAUCCGAUUCUCUUUUACAACCCAGAUCGAAUCCACCAAUGUUUGUCAUAAGCUUUCGCAAUCUACAAACCACCAUUUCCAAGCCAUGGCUUUCUUCUAUUCUUCACCUUUAACGACAUUGAUUCAGUUCCCAAUUAAGCGACGAGCGCACGAUCUCGAGUCGGAGGUAAGUGGUGACCAUUGACGAGAAGUUCUUGCGGGGCUAACGACUGAGGAGAAGAUCUCGUUCAUGGAUUCAUGGCAAUGGAGAUGAGAUAGAGACGGUGAAGGAGAUGGUUUGGAGACGGUGAAAGAGAUGGUGAUGGAAGAACGGCGGCAGAGAGAAGACAAGUUGUGAAACCCUAAUGACGUGUCCCACCAAAUCACAAACAAACUCAAAUUAUGUCACUUUGUCGUAUUGGGCUUAUAUGGGCUAUAAGAUUAAUAAUAUCAGUAUGUAUUAAGCCCAUGAUAUCAAUGUAUAAGCUUAAUUGGUGUAAUAUCAUAUUACUAGCGGAUUUUAGUCUCAGGACUAGUAAUAUGUAGAUAUUUUGACGGAUCCGGAUAUCCGGAUGUAAUUUUUUUUGUUAUCCGGCUCCGGAUCCGGG